rnacentral:rRNA from 1 species
GGUAGCUUAACCUUCGGGAGGGCGCUUACCACUUUGUGAUUCAUGACUGGGGUGAAGUCGUAACAAGGUAACCGUAGGGGAACCUGCGGUUGGAUCACCUCCUUACCUUAAAGAAGCGUUCUUUGCAGUGCUCACACAGAUUGUCUGAU